rnacentral:rRNA from 1 species
GACGAACGCUGGCGGCGUGGAUUAGGCAUGCAAGUCGAACGGUAUCAUCCUUUCGGGGGUGAGAGAGUGGCGAACUGGUGAGUAACACGUAGGUUAUCUACCCUCAAGACGGGGACAACCCAGGGAAACUUGGGCUAAUACCGGAUGUGAGCAACUUUUAGUUGUUUGAAAGGUGGCGUAAGCUGUCGCUUGGGGAUGAGCCUGCGUCCUAUUAGUUAGUUGGUGAGGUAACGGCUCACCUAGGCAAUGAUAGGUAGGCGGCCUUAACGGGUGGUCGCCCACACUGGGAUUGAGAUACGGCCCAGACUCCUACGGGAGGCAGCAGUCGAGAAUAGUCUACAAUGGUCGGAAGACUGAUAGUGCGACGCCGCGUGAACGAUGAAUCCCUUCGGGGUGUAAAGUUCUUUUAUAUGUGAGCAGUGCUUCUUAUAUUAACAGUAUGGGGAGAGAGAUAUUAGCAUAUGAAUAAGCAACGGCUAAACUCCGUGCCAGCAGCCGCGGUAAAA